AAGUCGGACUGAAAAGUGCACAUUAGCCUUCUUCAUAGUCUGCCGCCAUUUCUAUUGUUUUUCGUUUUCCAUCGGUCCAAACAAACCCUAGGUUUUCUUCUGAGAGUGAGAAAGUGCGGGAAAAUGCCGAGAGAGAUCAUCACAUUGCAGGUCGGACAAUGCGGGAAUCAGAUCGGCAUGGAGUUCUGGAAACAACUCUGCCUCGAGCAUGGAAUCAGCAAAGAAGGAAUUCUCGAGGACUUUGCCACUCAGGGUGGAGAUCGGAAAGAUGUGUUUUUCUAUCAAGCUGAUGAUCAGCACUACAUACCGCGAGCUUUGCUGAUUGACCUGGAGCCAAGAGUGAUUAAUGGUAUUCAAAACAGUGAAUAUCGAAAUCUGUACAAUCAUGAAAACAUCUUUGUUUCAGAUCAUGGAGGUGGCGCAGGAAAUAAUUGGGCCAGUGGAUAUGAUCAGGGAAAGGGUGUUGAAGAGGCUAUAAUGGACAUGAUUGAUAGAGAAGCUGAUGGAAGUGAUAGUCUUGAAGGAUUUGUUCUGUGCCAUUCAAUUGCUGGAGGAACAGGCUCAGGCAUGGGUUCCUAUCUACUGGAGACUUUGAAUGAUCGAUACAGCAAAAAACUGGUUCAGACAUACAGUGUAUUUCCUAACCAGAUGGAAACAAGUGAUGUGGUGGUCCAGCCCUAUAACUCACUUUUGACGCUUAAACGUCUAACGCUUAAUGCUGAUUGUGUUGUGGUCCUUGAUAACACUGCAUUGAAUAGAAUUGCUGUUGAGCGCCUUCAUUUAACAAAUCCAACCUUUGCUCAAACAAAUUCUUUGGUUUCUACUGUAAUGUCUGCCAGCACAACCACUCUGAGAUAUCCAGGAUACAUGAACAAUGACUUGGUUGGUCUUCUUGCAUCUUUAAUUCCAACACCAAGAUGCCAUUUUCUAAUGACAGGGUAUACACCUCUCACAGUUGAGCGCCAGGCUAAUGUAAUUCGCAAAACCACUGUACUUGAUGUUAUGAGAAGACUUCUGCAGACAAAAAAUAUAAUGGUUUCCUCAUAUGCUCGAACAAAAGAAGCUAGUCAAGCGAAGUACAUAUCAAUAUUAAACAUCAUUCAAGGAGAAGUUGACCCUACUCAGGUUCAUGAAAGUUUGCAGAGGAUACGUGAAAGAAAGCUUGUUAACUUUAUUGAAUGGGGCCCUGCAAGCAUUCAGGUUGCUUUGUCUAGAAAGUCUCCAUAUGUGCAAACGGCCCAUAGGGUCAGUGGCCUUAUGCUGGCAAGCCAUACUAGUAUUCGCCACCUUUUCAGUAAGUGUUUGAGCCAGUAUUUGAUGCUAAGAAAGAAGCAAGCCUUUCUUGACAACUAUCGGAAGUUCCCAAUGUUUGCAGAGAAUGACCUUUCGGAAUUUGACGAAUCAAGAGAGAUACUUCAGAGUUUGGUUGAGGAAUAUAAGGCCUGUGAGUCCCCAGAUUACAUCAAAUGGGGAAUGGAGGAUCCAGACCAAAUUCUUACAGGAGAAGGCAAUGCAGCAGGAACAGUGGAUCCAAAAUUGGCAGUAUGAGCAAAUCAGGUAAAGCUACAAUCAAGGGCUCCUGUAUAAACAGGAACAGUGGAUCCAAAAUUUGAUUGGAAGACUGUUGCAGGACAAGUCCUGGCACCAGGAAGUACAUUGGAUGGAGCAUUGUAAAUAUGGAUUAAAUGUUGCUUUUGAGUUCUUCCCGAGUGAAGUGGUUUGUAAUGUAAAUUUUUUGUGGGUAUUUUGAUUUAGUUAAUUAUUAGUCUGUUGAAGCAAUUAUUAUUUUAAGUGGAUCUUUUUGUGGGCCUACACGCCUUGCAAAACCCUGAAGUAGAGAAAAGAGAUUAUAAGCCUGACAAGGUUAUCCUC